GUGACACUCACAGAGAACGGCAAAAGCUCAGCCUCAAACACACACACACACACACACACACACACAUAUAUAACAGCAGAUCUCAACAGGAUACUGCAGUCAGUCACAGGCACAUGAACUCUGGAGGAAAUGGAGUGACAAGAAAAAGGAAGACACAAAUCACACCGUGCCAUGUGUGCAGGGAAACAGAUUGUCCGCUAUCAGCUGUGAUGGUGCGCGGAGGAAGAAUGCGAGCAUGCAGCGAAGUCAAACAAAAGUGCCUCAGAUGAAUAUUCCUGAAACAGGACAUGAUGGACUUGCUAAAACCGAAUCACGCACUUAUCCUGCAC